CACACUGCCUCCCGGCGGCCACCGGGCUCCUGCGAUUUAAAUUUGCCCUAAGUCGGCAGGAAAAUAAAGUUCCGCCUUCCCACACAGCCUCACGAGCAUGGAAGACGAAAGUUUAACGUCUGUCCCAUGUAUUGCAAAUUGUCUGGCCUCCCUGCUUUCUGCCUGCUAAACACCAGUAAAACAUCCCAUCACUGUGACAACAAAAGAGACCUUCAGAAAAUGCCAUCUGGAAGCCAGUGUACCCUGCUGAGAGACACAGUUACACGCAAACGCAGAGUGUUUACUACAGGAAAAGAGCGAGAAGAGUGCUGAGCUCCUGUGCUGAUCAGAGUUCAAAACUCAAGCUGUCAGGUCUAAUCACGACAUCCGCCCACUGUGUGUACAAAGGAAAGGAAAUGCCACUGGGACUGCCAUUUCAGUUCACCACCACGAUACCUCCUCUCAGAAUCUGCAGAUUUAUGUAUGAUAUAGCAGAAAAAUGCAAACCGCAGCAUUCCCUGCACGUUACGGGUUUGAAGUGGAUCCUCCCUUGGGGCUCAGGAUGGCUUGCUGGAGUGCUGAGCUACUCCACACGGAAGCCCCCAUCCCUGAGCACCCGCAGAAUACCCGAAGAGCUGCAAGCCACGGGGGACUCAGGCCAGCUCUACAUCUGGUGACCCCUGGGUGUUGCUGCAAAGUCCAAGCUUUGUCCUCUCACCCCUUGGCCCUACAGGAGGGAGGAAGCAUCCUACUGGGAAGAUUCCCUCUGCACCCUCUGCACCCUGGUAUGGAGGUGACCUCGGGACAGAGCCAAGUAUUGCAGGGCGAAAGGCACCUGAAGCCAGCAGUGUGGAAUGUCUUCUCCCUUGGGAUAAAGGAUGCUCUAUCAGCUUUUUUCUCGGCCAUGAGAGUGUAACACAGAAAAUCUUUCCGAUACUUAUAAACACAUAAAGCGGACAAUCUUCAAAUGCUGAUUAAAACACCUUGGGCUUUCCUUCUCUUCCUCAGUAACUGUAUUUACAUCAGAGGAAGAAAAACGAUUCAGUAGCAUUUUAUAAAAGCCAUUGAACAAUAACAGAUAAAAUCUGAGUAGUAUAAAGUUAGAUUCACGAAUGUUCUUCUUAGUGAUGCUUGUCUCUUAGAAAUUUGUAGGCAUUUAUUUUAAGAAGUAAAUUUUCUAUACAAAAUGUAGUUAGAAAAACGGUCUCAUUUUAACUCAUUAAAAGAAUGUUUUACAAAGAAUACAUGUACGCCCCGGGGCUGGGGGCAGGGUGGGCGUUCUGAAUCUGCACAGUGCAUGUGCCUGGGAAAACGAGACACGGUAAUAAAAGUGAGUGGUUGACUUGUCAGAUAAAAUUUAUUGUAUGAAGGUAUGUAACUCAAAACCUUCCUACCCCAAAUUCCUGGUGGAUUGCCAAAAGUGCGCUUGAAGCAUGGCAUUAGGAAAUCAAAAAUAUGUAGUUCAAUAGGAGCCAAUAGGCAUUUAUGGGCAUCUCCUCUUCAAAGGAAGGUAUUUUUCUGAAAUGUAAAGGAUUCUUUCAAGGGGAUCAUGCAGACAUCUGCAAUAAUUCCUUUACAUGGCAUCAUUAUUAAGUUUCUUGAAUUCCAGAACCGAUUCAGGGUGACUGAAAAAUUGAUGAAAAAUUCCAAGGACUGCAAAAGAACAUAGAGCACAAAUCCCAGGGCUCUUUAGCCACCACGACUGGACUCGGUACCCUUUGCACCCAUCUGCCUUCUCUCCCGGGACCCACAGGCGGCAGGGUGCGGCCGGCCUGGGCAGCCAGGUCUCGGGAGCUGGAAGAGAGCCCAGCGGCUGCAGGACAGGGGGAACGAGGGUUAUUUAUGGAGGAGGCCAGCUCGGGCAACGUCUGCUGUGGCGCUUCCUCCCAUCUAAUCAGGGAUGGCUCGAAAUAAUUAAAUCAACCACUCACCAUGCAGUGGAUGACCCACCGGAGUCUCCUCACGUGUGAGUGAGGCUGAGAUUAAUGGCACCAUUAUCAGGAGCUCACACGACACUUUUAAAAUGUCUCAUCAGCCAUUUUCAUAGGCACGAGCUGUCGCUUUUGUAAUGGAAACAAAACUGUCACACGUCACAAGACGGGUUUCUCUAUGGAAAUAGCAGCGCGUCUUCCGGAGGGUUCACUUCUAAUCUAGGCGGUCAUUGUUGUGAAGGGGCAUCGAACAGAACUGCCUUUGCCUAGGAGCCAAGAGGGAUCAGAAAAUGCGCCUAUGUAUAGGCGAGGGUGGGCUCAUGCCUUUUAUAUAUUAAUAAUUUGGCAGAGCGUAGAUGGAUAGACAGAUGAAAUGCAGAAUGAGAAAUCAUUCAUUCUACCCCCACCUCUGCUUUAGAGGUGGUUUGGUGUAGACAGGUCAGUAAGCCUAAGGCUUAAUUUUUUCAUUGGUAAAAGCCGUUAAGUCUGUAUUCUAAGAAAUUGGGGAACCAUAUGAUUGAGGCACUCACGAAAGAGUGUUUCUAAAUGAUGUCGAAGUUAUUGCAUUUAGAUAUAUAAAUACCCCAAGUGUUAUGAUUAUAUGCAUGUGUGUAUAUGCAUAUAUGUGUGUGUAUAUGUGCACAUAGGCACGCACACGCGCAUAUGUAGUUCAGUGUUGGCGGAGGGUUUUGGAGUCUGAGGGAGACAAAGCGGCUUAUGGACAAAGUGGAGCUGGCCUGCAGCAACUCCCUCGGGUCACACACGUGUGAUCCUGUGCUCAUUAUUACCUAGGGUUUGUGUUGGAAUACACAGUGGCCAAAACCAUUAGAAAAACAAAAAAGUGGGCUGUGGUUCUAGAUAUUUUUAUGUGCUAGAUUAGACUAAUAGUAAGAGAAGCAGAGCACACUUACCGCUCUGGUUUUGGGCUGGAAAGGAAAUUUCCUUGUAGGGCCUCCCGUGGCCCCUGCACGUGCAUGGGCUGGACGCUGGGACGCUGGCUGGGGGCUGAGAGCUAGGAGUCCCCUCAUCAGGGCACACGUGUCUGCUAGUGAGACCAUGACAGCUGAUGCCAGUUUUUAAUUGGGCAAAGGUGUGGUGCACAGAGGAUGUUUGAAAUUCAUUUUUGCGUCUGUUUAUUACGGGCAAUGCCCUGCGGCCACUGCCGGAUUUGGGAUUUCCAUGUCUGUGCAGCACAUGGCCCUGUGUCCCUUGGGAUGAGCUCUGCUGGAAAUUACACUCUCCUCUCUGUUUGUCUUCUCUGUCCUUCCCUUCCUUCUGGUAAGUCCAUCAAGUAUGGUACAACACCUAGCACUGAGUGGAAAAAAGAAAAAAGCAUGGUCUAAGUUGUCCCCCAUUCUCCUGCCCUCUCCUCCCGAAUGUUUUUCAUUGUUCACCCUCCCACCUCAAUCUGUGGGAGGGUGAACAAUUCCACAACAAUCUGUGCACAUUUCCACUUCUGUGCUCUUUAUUUGUAUGUGUGACUACUCUGACUUGCACGCUGGACUGCCAGCUCCCAGAGUACCAAUGUCUCUCCCAGCCUUGCUAUUUCCAGCAGAAUCUUCGUU